CCGCGCGCUGCUCCGCCUCGGCGCUGUCAUUCUCCGCGGCGCGGCGGCCAGUGCGGACUGCGGUUCCCGCCCGGCGCGCGGGUGCUGUGACUGCUCCUCCAGGGCUGCUGACUGGUAGCUCUGCAGCGCUCUGGAGCCUCUCCUGCGGGGACUCUGUGGUGUAGCAUUCCCUCAGAGCUGGAGACAGGCACCGGGAGCUCCGAGCACAGCUCUCAAGGGCUGGCGGCCACGAAGGCGUUUGCUUGGGUCCCCGGUGCAGUCCGAGUCUCUGCGGCUGCCCGGUGCGCCCGGGAAAGUGCACCUCCCCCGGCACGGCGGAGCGGAGGCGACGAGGACCAAGCGGGUCCUGCGCCAGCUACCACCGGUCACCGCGGGCCAUCCGGGCUGCUUGUGGCGGAGUUGCAGCGCUUCUUAGCGCACUGAAGCCCCAGAAGACCUCUGCCUCCUGCGAACCAAACACACCGAAUCCUUCUCUGAUUUCAACAGUGGAACACAACUUCAGAGCUGGGAAUUGGUGAGUACAGGGCAUUUAUUCAUCUAAGUCAUCAUCUCUAAUAUUGAUCAUUCAAGCUGGCUUCUAAUGUAACUCUGUAUCUAGUCACCCUGCAUGUGCAGCUCCAGCCGGGUGUGAGCUGGCCUGCAUGUGCAGACGCCCAUCUCCAGCCAGGUGUGAACUAGCUCCACCGUAGAUGUCACACCGCAACCGCUGUGCCACAGGGGCAGCUGCAACUCAUCUGUCUUAUGUUGCUCUAAAAAAAAACCUAAGAGAAACGGCAAGAGGUCUGUUUGGGGUGGCAGUUGGGUCAGAAGCAUCAGCACUUUUGGGUCCACAGUGAGGCAGAUGAAGGGCAUGGUGAGCCAAGCUGCUCCCUCCCAGCGAUCAGGAAGCAGAGAGCCAGGGAGGAAGUGUGUGAGGACUAGCUACAGCCUUUAAAGGUAUCCCCAGUAGCCCACUUCCUCUGAGCCCCACCUCUGCUCAGACUGAAUGCAUCACUGCUGAAUCCAUUGAUGGAAGUCAGCCCCAAUAAGUCAAUCACCUCUCAAAGACUCCACCAGCUGUCCACCAGCCUGCCAACACACGGGACAUUUCCUAUCCAAAGACAAGAGACCAAGACACCAGCAGGCACAUGUCCAAUGCCAUGGACUUCAAUCGGCACCGGCUCAGUCCUCACUGCUUCUCGAGACCUCUAUGGAAGGCCAAUGCUACCCCAUAUCAGGCUCUUUCUUCAUCCUGAGAUGGGGAUACUAACCGGACAGACUCCUGAGCUCUGUGAAGGUUGACCAGGAUACACAGCUCUCCCCAUGACUACCAUCCUCAGGACACAGGGCUGUGUUUCCUGUGAUCAUGAUCAGUACUGAUACCAGUUACAUCAGAAAUCCCCGAGUGAUCUGGGCUUAGACUGGCAUGUCAACAGAAUCAAAUCCAGAGUAAAAUCCUUGAGGCUAAGCAAAAUGACAAGUCAACACAGAGACAUUUUAUAUUCGAUUUUAGCAAUUGGAUUACUACAAGAUUAUCACUUUUUAAAAUGAAUCCCGGACCUUGAAGUGUCAUUUCCACCCCAUUCAAAAGAUCUAGAAAUCUCAAGUGUCCUGGCCUCCCUGACCUGAUCCCAUUACACACCAUUAUCUUGUGCCUCUCUGCUCACAGAGGAAAGGGUCCAUCUGGUCUGGGUUUUCCCAGUCCCUCAGAGAAUGAGCUUGGUAAAAAUAAACCAUUGUCUUUUAAUUAGA
rnacentral:sRNA from 1 species